rnacentral:rRNA from 1 species
CUACGGGUGGCAGCAGUGAGGAAUAUUGCACAAUGGGGGAAACCCUGAUGCAGCAACGCCGCGUGGAGGAUGACGCAUUUCGGUGUGUAAACUCCUUUUAUCAGAGAAGAUAAUGACGGUAUCUGAUGAAUAAGCUCCGGCUAACUCCGUGCCAGCAGCCGCGGUAAUACGGAGGGAGCAAGCGUUACUCGGAAUCACUGGGCGUAAAGGACACGUAGGCCGGUUGGUCAGUCAGGUGUGAAAUCCAACGGCUUAACCGUUGAACUGCACUCGAAACUACCAACCUAGAGUAUGGAAGGGGCAGAUGGAAUUAGUGGUGUAGGGGUAAAAUCCGUAGAUAUCACUAGGAAUACCGAAAGCGAAAGCGAUCUGCUGGGACAUUACUGACGCUGAGGCGUGAAAGCGUGGGGAGCAAACAGGAUUAGAUACCCCGGUAGUC